rnacentral:pre_miRNA from 1 species
UCUUAUGGAUGGCAAAGAAAGUAGUUUCUUGAGAUGGAAUCUAUACCUGGUGAAGAUGCUGUGAG